GUUGAAACGCUUGAUUCUCCCCUGCGAAGACACGAAAGCUGGGUCAUUCAGUGAUUGCCCUGUUUGAGCGGUGAUAGCUAUGCCAUGGAGCCCAUUCGUAUAAUGAAAGACUAUGGGAAAGACUUUGGCUCCAUGGCAAUUGAACUGUAUGUGUGUCCUCUAAGCGUCAUUCAGUAAUAAUGUGCGCUCAGAUCUGAGCUAUCUGGGGAUAUGUUGA